rnacentral:lncRNA from 1 species
GCUGGAUCAUCCAGUCGAGCAGACGUACGAAUGGGCCAAUACAUAACGUACGUCGAAACCGACAGUACGUACGGUACGCAAUAAACUGAUAACUGCCUUGCAAGGCAUGGCGAGCAAUUGAAGGUAAUGCCACAUUGAUGCGAUUGCCGGACGGGAAUUACGUACUAUACUAGCAGUGCUAAUUACUGUUUCUCUAACACACACAAGAGAUUGAAGACUCGCUGAAUGCAAUUCUACAAUCGAAUGAGAGCCAGGGAGAUUGGAUGGACCACCACAUGUCCACACUCCACGAGUACACGAGACCACAACAACCUUCGGCCACAUCCCCAACCUCUGGAUUACGCGGAGUAGAUAACACCUCAGUUCCCCCACAGAAACCACGAGUACUGUUGAGACUUGAGAGUCGAUCGUACGUUGAUCGACUCUCAAGUCUGAAUAGUUGGAGACGACGACAUAUGCACGAUUUAUUAGCAACCAUCAUGUUCCAAACCAAAACGAUUUGCCAUCCCGGCUAAGAGUGCACAGGGUUUUUGUUGCGGAGUGGUCGGGCGGGACAGCAGACGGUGGGCGUUGGGACGUUGGUACUUGCAGGCUUGCAGCAAAGUUGACUUGCACCGUUGCACGGCAGCAUGGUGGCGCGGCGCUCCGCAUCUGACAUCACCAUUCUCAGGUGAGGCGGCCGCGCGAGCGAGUGGGAGGACGCCGCGCGGAGCCAGCGGUCCAUACUGGCCCAUAGGCCAUACCUCGUCAGCAGCGUAAAGCUCGCAGGAAACGGGCUCUCAACUCAUGAUGCUUAGGCCUAUUUCGUCGUAACAGUCACGACGGGCCUUUUAUGCCAACUUCACUCGUGCCAACGGCCC